rnacentral:rRNA from 1 species
GAUUAACGCUGGCGGCGUGCCUAACACAUGCAAGUCGAGCGGCAGCGAGUUUUACACUGAAUUCUGGAAGCUUCUAGUUGAAAGAGAAGAUUUAUUCAAGAAUUUUGUGUAAAAUGUCGGCGAGCGGCGGACGGCUGAGUAACGCGUGGGAACGUACCCCAAAGUGAGGGAUAACGCACCGAAAGGUGUGCUAAUACCGCAUAUGGUCUUCGGAUUAAAGCCUUCGGGCGCUUUGGGAACGGCCUGCGUAAGAUUAGAUAGUUGGUGGGGUAAUGGCCUACCAAGUCGACGAUCUUUAACUGGUUUGAGAGGAUGAUCAGUCAGACUGGAACUGAGACACGGUCCAGACUCCUACGGGAGGCAGCAGUGAGGAAUCUUCCACAAUGGGCGAAAGCCUGAUGGAGCAACGCCGCGUGCAGGAUGAAGGCCUUCGGGUUGUAAACUGCUUUUAUAAGUGAGGAUUAUGACAGUAACUUAUGAAUAAGGAUCGGCUAACUACGUG